CUGAUUUUACAGAAAGCAGCACUCUGGUCUCACUCUCAAGCUGGUGAGAUGGGGAGCAGCAGGCCGGCUCAGAGAGUGACCUCCCUCGGUUUGCUACCCCCUAACACGGUCUUUCCUUGGAUAAGGCAUCUGAGGACCACAGGCUUCACAAGCCAGCUCCAGCUCCUAAGUGGUGGGACUGCAGGCAAGCACUAGAGACCUGGCAAUGACUUCAGGGCCAGUCACCAGACCAGCAUCGUCAGGAAUGCAUUGAUGUAAUCACACACACACACAGAAGAACCACGUUCCGCUUUCAGCCACUCUCUGAUGACCUGGGGAGCUGCACAAAGGAGCAAAUGAACUCACCCCAGCUGGCAGCCCACUAUUUAACAGGACACAUUUGUAGGCAAAUUACUGGCAGUAGUGAUUUUCAGAGCUGUGCAGGAGGUGUAGAGGCCUGAAUCCUCCAGGCAGGGCCAAAAGUCUCAGCCACUGGGUUCCACGUGAAUGCAGCUCCCAUGACUGGGGGCGCAGUCGUGUCAGGGGCCAGCGGGCACACCACCUUAGCACUUCCAGGAAUGCCUUCUCUCAAAAGUUCUCUCCCUGAUGAGUACGAGACAGAAAGCGGGCAAAAAUGCUGCUGGGAUUAGCUUUGGCUGUGUAAUAUCUGAGCGGGUGGUGGAGGUUUUGGCUCACAGAUUUUAAGAGAGCUAUGCAAUUUUGUGACCUUUCAGUCCUUAGGGCUUUUCAGUAGCUCAAUACCCUGUUGAUGCAUUGACUCUGAGUCCUAUGUGGGCUUACCAACUGUGUUAGCUGCUAUGGCUCUUUUACAGCAGCAGUUCAGGUGAGUCCGUAUCCUGGUCUGCGACUCAGAGGUUCUGAGUGCAGUUCCCAGUUCUAGCACAUGCUUCCUGUGUGACUUGGAGCAAACUGCUUCUGUCUAGAUCCUCUGCCACCAAAUAGGUGUCUAAGUGGCACAUAAAGCAUGUAAGCAAGUGUGAUCCUAUUCCACCCUGGUCAACUCUGAGAAACCACGAAUGCACCUGCUUUUGUAAAUGCCUUCGUCUUGGCCUUCAGACUAUAUCACAAAAAUUGGUGAGGAAAGGAUGACCCACCCACCUUUUGUAUUAGAGGCUUUUCAGGGACGCGAGCAAGAUGGAAGAGGUUUGCACAUAGAUGUGCCAAAUUAUUGAAAAGUAGGCUGCAGGGGGCCUCAGGAGGCCCUUGAGUCCAGCCCUGCUCAAGGCAGGAUCAUCCCUGUCCAAACCAUCCUUGGAAAGUGUUUGUCUAAACUAUUCUUAAAAGUGUAUUAACAGUGCUCUUGCACAACUACCAGCUGCAAUGCCUGAGAAUAGAAAAAACACCUUAAGUUGCCACAGGUAAAGCAGGGGAGUGAGGGCACUGUCAAUCUCCUGCCUCUGUAAGAAUGUGAAACAGUUUGUUAAAAUAUAUAAGUAACACUUAGCUGCCUAAUAGGAAGAAUAGGGUAUGGCCCUAAAUGUCUCUCUGCCUCAGUUCUUCAUCUGCACAAUGGGGAAUGAAGUAAGUAUUUUCUCCCAUACUUUUCUUGUUGUGCCAUAAAGACUGGAUGCUCUUAUUCCAAGUUAUGAGUGCCUUGACAGUGGAUCAUACUGAACAGGAGUGGAGCGCUCAUUUUAGAGUUGGAGAGCGUCUGCCCAUGGACUUACUCCAAAAUAAUCACUGGGCAUGUCUACACGUGCCAUUAAGGUGUAGCAAUAAAGUGCAGAGUUUAUUGCUUCGCAGUUUAUUACUCCACAGUAUUGCUCCUGGGAAGCUCCUGGGCACGCUCUUUACAUGUGUACCCAGACCACAGGACAUUGAACUGGGUCAGAGCAGCCCCAGCUGACAGGGGGCCCCGGAUGUCAGCCUGCCAGCCCAGGGCUGCUCUGACCAGGCUCAAUGUGUGGCAAAGGGGCUGGCUGGAGCAUGAGGUUGCUCCCAUACAGGGCUAGCUGAGAGGCAGCCCCAGCACUGAAGCAUCCUCAUGCCCCAGCCAGCUGAGUCAGUGUCUACUAUGUACAAAAAAACUCCACAGCUGGAUAGGACUUGUAUUUACAAGUCCUGUCCUGCUGCAGAGUUUAUUAGUUUCCUGUGCCCUAGUAGGGGUGCACGUCUGGACGCUGAGAUGUUUACUGCACAGUUAAUUAGUCAACUGCACAGUAAAUGUCUCAUGUAGAUGCACCCACUUAGCUUUAAAUUCACACCUUCCUUUAAUCCAAAUGAAUUUUUGAGUGUAGACAAAUCCUUAGUAGAUAUACAGUAUCUAGCAAAAUGGGACCCUGACCUCAACUGACACGUGCAGGAACUGCUUUAAUACCACUUAGUAAGAUAAGCAGAAUGCUGGCUUGCAGUGCCAGUGAGACACCUCUGUUUAGAAUCGGGGAAGUCUGUAACAUCUGUGUUUGGAAGGAGUACAUCCAUUGAUCAAGGGUUCAUUGAUCUAUGCCUUGGUAAGGUUGCAGAUCAGGGUUUAUUUUGGUUGAUGACUGAUUUCUACACCAGAAAUUCCAGUGUGGGGCUUGGUGCGUACAUGGAGUUUUAACCUGGGAAUAAGUGGAGGACACAAAUAGAAUCAUCAAAUCAUAGAAAAUUAGGAUUGGAAGCAACCUCAGGAGGUCAUCUAGGUCCAACCCCCUGCUCAAAGCAGGACCAUCCCCAAUUAGAUCAUUCCAGCCAGGGUUUUGUCAAGCUGAGCCUUCAAAACUUGCAAGGAUGGAGAUUCUACUACCUCUCUAGGCAACCCGUUCCAGUGCUUCACCAUCCUCCUAGUGAGAAAGUUUUUCCUGAUAUCCAACCUAAACUUCCCUUGGUGCAACUUGAGACCAUUGCUUCUUGUUCUAUCAUCUGCCACCACUGAGAAGAGUGGUGAAAGACCACUCUUGCAAACCAGUUCACCACUUGCCCUUGUUGCCCUUAUUGAUUUCACAAGCAGCAGUGAGGUGUAUACCCCAUUGCCCAAUGGGAAUGUGGGUUUUUUGCAUUUCAUGGCCAUAAACAACAUCACCUCUUGUGCCCAAAGUAGAUACGUGGAGAGAAAGAGCCUUGCCAUGGAUUUGCAUUGUCUUUCUUGUGAUUUUGAUGCUUGAUCCCAGACUUGCUUUUGUUUGCAAGGUCUGAUGGCACUGAACUCAAUGUCAAAAAUAUCUACUUCAGAGUCAGAUCUUAUGACACUUGUCACAGGCAAGUUUUCCCAAUACAGUUCCUCAAGCCAAACUGCAGUAUUCCCUGCUGCUCCAUUCAUAAACUACAACUGCCAACAGGGCUGACUUGUUUCCAAGUCUGUGAUGUUCUGGUUACAUGGACAAACACUUGCUGGGAAAACGUACCAUCACUCUGAACCCAUUUAUAUUCUUUCCUUGGCUCUCUAGCUAUGAGAAACAGAACUUGCUUAAAAAUCCAGGAUUCAUAGAUACAGUAAAGUCAUAUCCAUACCAUAUCGGAAUCACUGCAGCAAAGCAGGGUAUGCCUAUUCUGAGCAUAACAAACCCAAAAGGGAUGUAAUGGAGCCGCCCUUAGUGCAGGACUGGACAUGAGCUGAUGAACAAGCCUGAAAAGAGAGCUUAUUGGUGUGUAUCCAGUACCAUGCUAAUGGUGGCUACAAUACAGAAUGCAUCCCUUGCCCUUAAAGAGAUGGACUGGGUGUGUGCCAUGCUUCACUCCCUAACAUAGCCCCAUAAACACACCUUAAGUGUCACACUGAUUUUUUGUUAAUGCCCCAAGAAGACACUGGGUAACACAGAAAGGGAAGAGAGGAGUGUCCGUGGGCUGCCGUUUGUUCCCAUGAUUCCAUCUCCACCGUUGUUCGGAAGCUGCAACAGCAACAGUACUAUGCCUUGUAA